rnacentral:miRNA from 1 species
AGAUGAUGAUGAUGAUGAUGAUGAUGAUGAUGAUGAUGGGCCGUCGUUGUCGUCGUCAUCGUCGUCGUGGUUG